AGGUCUACGUUCUCUGCCAAUUCUACUACCACAAACAGUUAUCUCAAGAAAGCAAACUUUCAACUUUCCUUCAAUAAAAUGAUUGCUAUUGUAUAUCAAUCGGUAGAGCUUGCAUGUCUGUUCUCUCCCAUUGCUCAAAAUGAGCACAUAGUCUACUACAUCAUUUGUCUAAAGGAUGGGCUUAGUUAGAAGUUAUAAGGACUGCUAAAUUUUGGAGCAUUUGCUAAGAGAAAAUGCUCAAAGGCUCUUCUCUUUAACUUCAAAUUGUGAUUGGCCUGGCUUGGGUGGCAUGCCCAGUUCUGGGCUAAUUGCUGUGUAGGAAACGAUUGUUGGGGCUGGUUGCCGUCACAUGCUCCUUUCCAGGUAUUUCCAUGCCAGGAUUUUUCCCAUCGUUCGGGUCUCUGCUCCACUAUCAGUUCUUCAGUAUCCCACAGGUGGUUUACAGCUGCCAUCUUCUACAGCAAGGGAACAUUCUCCAUUGUUGCUUCAUCUUCACUGAAGAUUCAGCCAAGUGCUUUCUCUAUCUUGUACAGUUUGCUAAGUUACAUAUCAUAGAUGUUAUUUACUAUAUAUAGUCCCUAGUCAAAUCACUCCGAAUACCCCAAUACUUGUAUGUUAUCAUGUCUUUUUAGUCACUUUUAAUCCGGAAUAGCUCCCUCCACGACCUUUUGAAAAAUGUUUUAAAUUUUAUCUUUCAUACGGUAAUAGAAUCGUAGCAGCAGAGGUUCUAUAAGGUCACCUAAUUCCUGUUCCUCAACUGUACUGUAGAUAGCCAUCACCAAGUUUACUUCUACUUAAGGCAGUAUUUACAAUUCACACUCCUCUAAUUGUUAGAAUGCUUUAACAACUCACCUUUAAUGAGCACCUACUAUGUGCCAGUGCGUUGUACUAUGUCCUAGGGAUUUAAUGAUUAAGUAUGAUAGACAUUGUCCCUGUCCUCACAGGGCAUCUAAUCUUAUUAUGGAUGUGUUUAAUAUAUACAUGCUUUAAAUUUUGUUUGUGAUGUCAGAAUUUGGCCUAAUUUUACACUGUGUAUAUAAACAACAGCCCCAGACAAAGGAAACUCUGUUCCUGAUGGAGGAAACAAUGUGGUAAUAAUCUGGUGAUUUUGGUCUUUUUUGUCUGUUUGUCCCAAGUACAGAAGUUGAUGGACAUACACAAAAUAAACUUCUGCUAAAAACCUUGAUGAGUGAUAAAGGCCAUCUGCCAGCAGCUGGUGAAGUGUCCUUUGACAGGCUGUAUACUGCAGAGAGAGAGGGAGAGAGAGAGACUAUUAGAAGAUAUUUUCAGAAAUAGUUGUGGAUUUUUUGUAAAUGAAAUUAAAACAUAAAACACAGAAGGCGUAUAGUAGGGAAAUAAAAGUCAAAAUUGCAUUCCUAAAGUACUGUCAUCUCUGAGGAAAUUGUAUUAGCUUUAUCCAUC
rnacentral:lncRNA from 1 species